CACUUCUGGGCAGAGGCAUGUCAGGGUCGUGAGACUUCCCGGCACUCUCUCCCCUUGCUGCUCUGAUCCAGGAAGCUUACAUUGAUACAGAAGUGAAACGUGGAGCUCUCACAUGCGGGACAACCUUCCCAAUAAGAAACUGAGGCACAAAGGUGUUAAGUAACUUUCCCAGGAGCACACAGUUGAUGGCUGGUGGAGCUGAUUUUCCACCUCUGGCAGUUCGACUUCAGAACCUGCGCACUAAUGCUUACACAAUGGUUUCUGGUUUGUACAUCACGUUUCCACCAGUUAUCUCAUCCGAUUUGCAUACCACACCUAGCAACUCUAAACGGUAGGAUUCGUGUCAACUCCAUUUCCUAGAUGAGGAAACUACGGAAACAAAUCUCAGCUUCCUGAGGACUUGAACAUCUCAAAGGGUUCUUCCUAGCAAUGACUUCAUUUUUCAGAAACUACAGCCAAGAGCCAGAGAGAGGAAAUAUCUUGCUUAUGGUCCCACAACUAGUGAGUAGAACACCUGAACUCGGUAGAUCUUCAUAGAAAACAAUUCUUUCCUUCCAAGAAAUUAACAUACAAACGUUCAACUGGGCACUCUGGGAAGCCAGAACACCCAGCCACUCGA